UACAUGAAUACUUUCCAAAUGCACUGUAGGUAGGGGAAAAUUGACAAUGCAUAGAUAAUAAACAGUGAGUAGCAGUAGAAUAUAAAAUGUCUAGGUCAAUGCUAAUAGUCCAGGAAACCAUUUGUUUAAUUUUUCAGCAGUCUUAUGGUUUGGGGGUAGAAGCUGUUAAGGAACCUUUUGGAGCUAGACUUGGCGCUCCGGUAGUGCUUGCCAUGCGGCGGCAGAGAGAACAGUCUAUAACUAGGGUGGCUGGAGUCUUUGACAAUUUUUAGGGACUUCUUUUGACACCUCCUGGUAUAGUGGUCCUGGAUGGCAGGAAGCUUGGUCCCGGUGAUGUACCCUCUGUAGCGCCUUGUGUUCUGCUGCCGAGCAGUUGCCAUACCAUGCAAUCGGUCAGGAUGCUCUCGAUGGUGCAGCUGUAGAGCGUUUUGAGGAUCUGAGGACCCAUGCCAAAUCAUUUUCAGUCUCCUGAGGGGGAAUAGGCAUUAUCGUGCCCUCUUCACUGUCUUGGUGUGUAUGGACCAUGAUAGUGUCAUGACAUGACUACCAUUAAUGUGUUGAUGGCUAUUUUAUCAAAUCAAUUAACUGUGUUGAAUUAAUACAUUAUUAAAUUAAUCAUGUAACAAUGACCUCAUUAGUAACUUGGGGCACCAUGGAAAAAGUUUGUUUUAUGAGUUACUGUUUCCCAAAUUAACUCAAGAAUAUAUUAGAAUAUAUCAUUAUCAUACCAGUCAUCCAUUAAUCAUUAUUUCCUCAUAUCAGUCUCAUUCUAACAUUGUAAAAUUCUUGGAUAUCUGCAGGAACCCAAGUCUAAAUAAUGAUUCAGAGAUGCACAAAUUGGUUUAAUUAUUUAUUUACUAACUAAAUAAUCACACAGACAUACACAAACAGUAUAGGUUGAAUUGAUUUCUAACAUAAUGCAAUGAAAAGUCCCUAGUGGACUAACUCGAUAUGAUGGCUUGUUACACCGUGAAAGGGGUGGGGACAGAAAGAGUGGGAGAGACAGAGAGUUGGAAAAAUAUGCUCAUGGGAAUGUGAAUACAUUUCACAUGAAUGACUGCUCAUUUGAAAAUAAUUGCAAUGUAUAUAUUAAUGCUUGUAUGUUUUUGUCGUUGCUCUCUGUUGACAUCGCACGGUCCGUCUAUGGGGAGUCGUUCGACAGAAGUCUCUGGUUUGUCCACCAGAGGUAACAAUGUCUUUUGUAGUUGUAGUAGGCUUUCUUUGUCUCUGAGUGUUCGUUAGACUGGAUCCUUCAGAUAUACACACGCGGUGGUCUUUGGGUCGAGUUUACUAGACUAACAGUACUUAAACAGCUGCAGACUGAAUGUUCCGAUGUAGUCUUUAUCUUCUUCACUCGCGUGGAGAGUUUCUAAACAUUUCGUAACGUUCAGCUCACGCUGUUGGUCACGCUGGUCUAUAUUUAAAUUGCAACCAUUUCAACGUUUUCAGCCCGCGCCAAAAUUACAUUUAAUCUUUUCACAAAUAGUUUCAUAUUUAAUCAUAUAAAGUUGGUGAAGACGAAUGUUCUGAAUGGACUCUAAAAUUGGAGUGUGUGUGAUACGUGUGUGAAUGAUAAGGAAUCGCUUCUUGUUGGGAUGCUUUUGUUGAGUAAGGGUGCAUAUGUGGGAGACCCGUUUGAGCUGUCGAAAAUGGUGAAGUAAUGCACUGGGAAAAGUGGAGUUUGUCAGAGUGAUCUGGAAUUGUUUAAUUUGGAUGAAUUGUAUUUAUGAAGAACAGAGAUUGCAGUGAGCCUUAAAAUAAUCUGGACAGGGCCUCCUGAGUGGCGCAGCGGUCUAAAGCACUGCAUCGCAGUGCUAGAGGCGUCACUACACACCCUGGUUCUGUGCCGCAGCCAGCUGCGACCGGGAGACCCAUGAGUGCGACUGGCUUCCGGGUUAAGCGAGCAGUGUGUCAAGAAGCAGUGUGGCUUGGCAGGGCUAUGUUUCGGAGGACGCAUGGCUCUCGACCUUCGCCUCUCCCGAGUCCGUACGGGAGUUUCAGCGAUGGGACAAGACUGUCACUAGCAAUUGGAUAUCACGAAAUUGGGGAGAAAAAGGGGUAAAAAGUCAAAUAUAUAUAUAACAUCCGGACAAUAGAAGUUUUGUGUUUUAAACUUCGGAGUAGAUCACCCAUCAAAGGAGUCAUGUCAGGGGUAACGACGGAUGUUCAGGUUCAAUACCUGAAGAGAAUUUGUAGUGUGGUUGGUGCCCGCCGUCAGACCCGCAGGGUGAAUGGAGAAAAAGAAAAAGGUCUGCCGGCCCACGUAUGUGAAGCUUAGUUUUGUAAGAUACACUGUAAGAGCUUUCAUCCCCAAACCAUUGCAGUGUAAGAAUUGUAAAGGAUUUGGCAAUGUUUCAAGUGUGUGCAGACGGACAGUUUAGUUUAGUUUAUUUAUUUAUUUUUGGAGUUUGCUAGUUUGUUCCAUUUUUAGGAAUCCUGUUUCCAUCCCGCACGGUAGUCGGUGGGAUGCACAUUAAAUUGUGCGAUCGUCAUAUACCAUAGAAGAAGAAGAAAUGUUUUGAGAAGAAUAAACAUUGUGAAAUGGACGAAAGAGGACAAUGUAUUGGCAGGGCAAAACACUCUUUCCCGACUGGUGUGAGGUCUAUCUACAGGUGACCAGGUGGACCUCUUCACCAGGCAGGCCUUCGCUGCAGUCUUACAUCACCAGCAAAGGUCUAUGAAGAGGUACUUUAUAUUAAGAUCGUGCUUCCAACCUGCCGCCUGGAUAUCUCAGUAUCCACGAGGGCAUCAUCAAGCAUUCUGGUCCAGUGAUUAAAUGGGUUGGUGGAGGAAAGCCAUUAUUAGGUGUCAACUCACCUGGUCCCUACUGAGUGUCUACACACAGAGUGAUGGUUCAUAUUGUAGCUCACGAGUAGGGACUGGAACAUCACCUCAGAUCCUAUGUGAAGUUUGUGUUCAAGCCAGAGCCGAACUCAGCCAGUGGGGUCCCUAACCCUCAGAGUGUCCAUGAGGAGCUGGCUAAAGCCAUGACAGCCAACCUCAACCCCUCCACUUACUUCCUCACCAGCAACAAACUGCUACUCGUGGUACUUCGUAGAAGCCCUGGUGAAGUCUAUGGCCCAGCAUAGGACCCAGAGUGGUAAAUUCAACCUGUCUAGCAAACCAAGUUUCUCUGCCUCCUUCCACCACACAGUAGAGAAAAAUGCUGAGGCCUCACAUCAACAAGAACUACAAGGACAAACUGGACGCUGCCCGAAACGCCAACCACAGUCUGGCAGUCUUGGAGUGCCAUAGACAGCCAACAAAAAAGUUGUUGGUUUCAUUCAAAAAAUUGCCACAUUUAGUUCUAUGGUAAUGCUAUUUUCUUGCUAUGAGGACUGAUGACUUAUUGUAUGCUACACAAAGCAAAAUAAAUACGUGCACCCUAUACUAUCAGGGUAGAUUAUUGGUGUUUCUUCUGCUAUGUAGAAACUAUUUGCUAGUCAUUUAAAUAAAAAAGUAAUAGUAAUUUACACAAUAACAGGGAAACAGAGCAUUGCUUUAGAAUACAGUGUCAAGACCCCAUAGGUACACUGAAACUAUGGGGAAACUGUACAGAAAGUAAGCUACACUGAAACAAUGGUCAUAGUAAUUUACACGGUAACGGGAACAGGGCAUUGCUUUAGAACACAGUCUCAAGGCCCCGCAGGUACACUGAUACUAUGGGGAAACUAUCCAGGAAGAAACAGUAAGGCACACAAACUGAUGAAAGUAGUAAGGAAUCUAAUAGUAAUUUACAGGGGAAGAGAGCGUUGCUUUAGAAUACAGUGUCUUGGCCCCAUAGGUACACUGAAACAAUAUGGUGAAACUACGCCUACGCAUGAAGUAACAAAUAAGGUACAUAAUAUGUACUUAAGUACAGUGCUGAAAUAACUGUAUAAUGAUAGGAAAGUAAUCGGAAACAAGACAAAAGGCAGCUACAAGCAAAGACCUAAACGUUUUUAGGAUGGUCCACAUAAAGCAUAAGUGAAAGUUCCAAGUACAUUCUUAAUAAGUAUACCCUCUAUUAUUGAUAGUUCUUUAUGUUCCUACAUAACAACCAGGAUAAUUCAUCACUAUUUAUAUCAGUACUUAGCAGCUACAAACAAAAUAUUAAUGGAUAAUUGGUGUUCAUGCCUGGUUGUUGCCAUCUUAUUUCAUAGUUUUUUUCCAGGUACUUUCCAGACAUUACCCUCUUAUUCAGCUAUCCUUGUGACCUAAGCCACCCUGCUAUUUCCUGUUUCCUGUGUUCCUCUGCCCUCAAAUUGGAGGAGAGCUGAGUAAAUGUAACCCAAUCAGCUUCAAGCUUUCAGCCUCUCUAGUAAUAGUAUUUUAUGUUCUCUCCUGUGUAGGGGGAUUAUUUGAUAAAACAAUGAAUUUGUUCUUACUGCCAUUAGCCCAUAGAAACACAUUCAAUAUUCAUACAUGGUAAAACAGAUUGUAAAGUCAAAAGUAUGUUUUGGGGGGGCGCUAGUGACAAACCCAUGGAGUAGGCCAAUUUUAUUUAUUUAAUAGUUUCUUUGUGCUUUGACCCGCUAAAGAACUAGAAAACGCAGCCUUUGAAUGACGUGCGUUACUUUGCCCAACUUUUAUUUUACUUUUAAUGUGUAAAUGGCGCAUAACCUGCAAAAGUUUAAGUUCAGCUGAGUCACUGACAAAAGAGAAAACACUAGUCCCAAGACGAGGAGCUCGAGUUCUUCAACAAGUGGGAGCAGCGGCUCCUCGGCUCUGCGAAAAAAUGUACACCAAGGAUUCGAAGGCCGAGAUUCUUGCUGCCCUCAGAGCGGACAUUUCAUCUACACUCAACUCGGAACUCAAGGAGGCGCUCAAUGAGGACUUUCAUUUUUAUUAAGUCGGAGUUACAAGCAGUCAAGAAUGAACUCACAAAGCAUACGGCAAUGGUUCGUACUGAACUGGAUACAAACUGUCUCCGACAUGGAAAAACUUGUCCCCAUGUCCCCAGACGAUACAACUACAGUACAAACCACGGCUAAGAAGCUCGAAACUGAUGUGGCUAGCCUUAAGCAACAAUGCAUACAUUUACAAGGUUAUAUGCAAAGAUCCAAUAUCAGGAUCAUGGGGGUAGCUGAGGACCCGGGCUCAAGUUCUACUUCAUCGGUCUCAAAGUUAUUGAAGGAAGCCCUCAAAUUGAAUAAAGACGUCCUUGUAGACCGCUCACAUCGGGACUCUCAAGCAAGUAAGCCUGGCGGAAAACCUUGCUUCAUUGUGGCUAAACUGCACUACUAUCAGCAUUGUAUGAUGUUCGUCGGCGUGUCAGAGAAUUUGUCCCACUUCGAUGCAACUGAGCACCCAUAAUCUAUCUUCCUGGACUAUGCCCCCAGCUUUGCUUGUGAACGUGUUGCUUUCAACGAUGUCAAGAGUCUGCUCUGUGGACAGACCGACGUCGGGUAUGGUGUGGCUUUUCCUACCCGGCUCUGUGUAACAUACACUGGCAUCGAAGGCUAUGGCCGUCGUAAAGGAGAACAUUCUACCAUGGUCAGAUGAAGCAAAUGGCUGAAUGUUCACCUAUUUGGCAAUUAGGGUAAUGGACGAAUGUGUUUACCUCUGCAGACUCAGUCUCUCUUUUGUAGAUACUGUAUAGUGUUGCCAGUGGUGUCAGUUGAUAUUGUUAUUAUCAGGCAACGUUAGUGCCUUAGUUCUGGUGAGCAAAUUUUUCUUUUGUUUUAAUGUUUCAUUUUAUUACCAUGAAGCUGCUCGUUUCUAUUUUUCUCGACGGUACUCGUAUCCAGGGUAGAUAAAGCACAGUUCUA